rnacentral:rRNA from 1 species
CCCUUAGAUGUCCUGGGCCGCACGCGCGCUACACUGACGAAUGCAACGAGCUUAUAACCUUGGCCGAAAGGUCUGGGUAAUCUCCAAAUUUCGUCGUGAUGGGGAUAGAUUAUUGCAAUAAUUAAUCUUCAACGAGGAAUGCCUAGUAAGCGCAAGUCAUCAGCUUGCGUUGAUUACGUCCCUGCCCUUUGUACACACCGCCCGUCGCUCCUACCGAUUGAAUGGUCCGGUGAAGCGUUCGGACCGUGGCCUUUGGACGGUUCGCCGUCUGUUGGCUGCGGGAAGUUCGUUAAACCUUAUCAUUUAGAGGAAGGAGAAGUCGUAACA